CGGGCAAUAGCGCAGCUGGUUAGCGUGCGUGUCUGGGGGGCACGAGGUCCCGGAUUCGAAUUCCGGUUGCCCGA
rnacentral:tRNA from 1 species